GUGAAUCAUCGAAUUUUUGAACGCAAAUUGCACUCUCUUCUGAUAGUAUGCCUGUUUGAGUGUCAGCCUAAAAAAAAUCUACGUAGUCGCUGUGUCGCGGUGACAUUCUUCGGAAAUUGGGUCAUCUUAAACCUUUGGGUUUUUUAAGCGGCUUAAAGUUUUCUUGACGAUUCCACGAACGCUUCUAAGAUUUUACUUCUUACACACGUUUAAGGUAUCGAUCUUUAUUAGACGUGGCCGUUGCAUCGGAUCGCGUCCAUAAAUAUUUCGUUAACUGACCCCGUACAGGUAGUAGUACCC
rnacentral:misc_RNA from 1 species